CUCCCCCUUCCCUCCCUAUGCCAUCCAACAUGCUGCUGCGGAGAGAUAACUCUGUCUGGGUAGACUGACUGACAGUGGCUAGGGUAACUUUGACUGUGAAAGCUAAAUGACGUUCCUACAGCGAGCAGUGCAGCAUGAGUUUUGAUUCUCCUCUAAUACCAAGACUUGUAUUUGGUGCUCAGAUCUCUAAGCUAUAACUACUGAUGUAACUACUAGUUGAGUAUGUGAAAUUAUACAUGUGCAGUGCCUAUAAAAAAAAAGUAUUCACCCAAGUUGGACUUUUUCAUCUUUUAUACUGAUUGGAGUUUCCUGAUAUUAAAUUGUAAUAACCAUCUGUAAACAACCUGCCCACUGUUUGUCCGGUCUGUUUUUGUGCGUUAAAUGUACAUAUAGUGAACUUGCAGUCAACUCAGACUUCACAAUGGACUGUCACUGUCAAUGUUUGACUGUAAACAAAUAGAAAUAUUGUUUUUCCCUCCUAACAUCUAUGUUAUGUACGUGAUAUAUGAUGAAUAAAAGAACCAGUGAAAAGGAGUUACACUUCUGCCAAAGCCCAAGAGGACACCUGCAGGAAAACUGAAGCAAGUGCAAAUGCAAAAUUAAACAGGCUUUAAUUAAUUAAUUAAUUAAUUAAUUGUCACCUCUGAUAUAACAUUGUCAUCAAUAAUGGCUAAUAUUCCCCAGUAUGUUACCCUGAUGGUUCACUCUAUUGAAUGUAAUUAAAAGAGUUCAGUACACUUAUGCUACUGUAAAUUCCAUUUAUUCAUAGCUACAGUCAAAUCAUAUAAGCUACCCAAUAUCUGAUAUGCCCUGUUUCAGUCCAGCUGUUUAAUGUCUUAAUUCUUGUUAAACCUCUUUUGUCAGUUAAAUUUUUGUAAGAUUUAAAUGAUCCUGCAGGUGCUCUAUCAACAGAGAUGAAUGAUUCUCCUGUACAGUUAAUGGCAAUUUUACGUUUGGCUCAGACAGGCCGACAAUAACCUGUAGAGAAGCAGCUACAGGUUGGAAAAAAAAAAAAAU